AUUGAACGCUGGCGGCAUGCCUUACACAUGCAAGUCGAACGGCCGCACGGGUGCUUGCACCUGGUGGCGAGUGGCGAACGGGUGAGUAAUACAUCGGAACAUGUCCUGUAGUGGGGGAUAGCCCGGCGAAAGCCGGAUUAAUACCGCAUACGAUCUACGGAUGAAAGCGGGGUACCUUCGGGCCUCGCGCUAUAGGGUUGGCCGAUGGCUGAUUAGCUAGUUGGUGGGGUAAAGGCCUACCAAGGCGACGAUCAGUAGCUGGUCUGAGAGGACGACCAGCCACACUGGGACUGAGACACGGCCCAGACUCCUACGGGAGGCAGCAGUGGGGAAUUUUGGACAAUGGGCGAAAGCCUGAUCCAGCAAUGCCGCGUGUGUGAAGAAGGCCUUCGGGUUGUAAAGCACUUUUGUCCGGAAAGAAAUCCUUGGCCCUAAUACGGUCGGGGGAUGACGGUACCGGAAGAAUAAGCACCGGCUAACUACGUG
rnacentral:rRNA from 1 species